rnacentral:pre_miRNA from 1 species
GAGACACCCUCAUGGGACAGGACUUUCUUCAGUGGGGCUUUGGUGCUCACUGAGUCUGCCCCUUGAGUGUGUCGCU